rnacentral:piRNA from 1 species
AUGGUGGAUCAUCAUCAUUGUCAAUAUCGCC